CACGCCGUAAACGAUGGGUACUAGAUGUUGCGGGAAUUGACCCCUGCAGUGUCGCAGCUAACGCAUUAAGUACCCCGCCUGGGAAGUACGGUCGCAAGAUUAAAACUCAAAGGAAUUGACGGGGGCCCGCACAAGCGGUGGAGCAUGUGGUUUAAUUCGAUGCAACGCGAAGAACCUUACCUGGGUUUGACAUCCCCUGACAGCCGUAGAGAUACGGUUUUGUAGCAAUACACAGGGAGACAGGUGC
rnacentral:rRNA from 1 species